rnacentral:rRNA from 1 species
CCUACGGGUGGCAGCAGUGAGGAAUAUUGGUCAAUGGUCGGAAGACUGAACCAGCCAAGUAGCGUGCGGGAUGACGGCCCUACGGGUUGUAAACUGCUUUUGUACGGGGAUAAAAUCCUCCACGUGUGGUGGUCUGUAGGUACCGCAUGAAUAAGGACCGGCUAAUUCCGUGCCAGCAGCCGCGGUAAUACGGAAGGCCCGAGCGUUAUCCGGAUUCAUUGGGGUUAAAGGGAGCGUAGGCGGGCGUUCAAGGCAGCUUGAAAAUCCGGGGGCUCAACCGGGCCCCGCGGUGGCAACUGGGUGCCUUGAGUGCACAGCAGGCAGGCGGAAUUCGUGGUGUAGCGGUGAAAUGCAUAGAUAUCACGAGGAACCCCGAUUGCGAAGGCAGCCUGCGGGGGUGCGACUGACGCUGAGGCUCGAAGGUGCGGGUAUCAAACAGGAUUAGAUACCCGUGUAGUC